rnacentral:ncRNA from 1 species
CAUAAGAGGCAGAUAAAGUAGCACCAAUAGUGUAGGCUGGAUGAUAGCCUUGAGUACAAGGAAGAGACUAUAAGAACCAUGUCUACUGUCCAUCAACAUUGGUUCUUCCUAACAUUGUAAUGCAGAAUUCGCCAAGCGAUGGAUUGUUCACCCACUAUUAGGGAAUGUGAGCAGGGUGAGGGUGAGUUUUAUCUUACUGAUAAUGUGUUUUUCAAUACUAAUCCUGCACAGUUAAAGAGCAACGGCAGGUUCAAGCAUUUGGUGUCUUUGCUAGGCUGAAGAGCAAAUGGUGCAAAGCUACCAUCUGCAGGAUUAUGAUUGAAUGCCUCUAAGUCAGAAUAACUCCUACAACAGUGAAACUGCACUUCUUAAAGUAUGAGGUACUGAAGCAAGAAAACUCUAUAAAGAAAAAGAUUCAGAUUUACUUUAUUACCUAAGCAUUUGAUGACUGUGAUGUCAUGACUGAGGAACUUGCAACAAAAAAGAAGAAACAAGAUCAGUAUCUACCACGAAAAAGCAUUGUGGUACAGAAUAUGUUGCAAGACUACUGAAUGAUUUUAUUCAUAUUCUUUAAUAUUUUUGUUUUCAGCGUUGG